rnacentral:lncRNA from 1 species
CCGGAUCGGAGCACUUACAUCAGACAUGGGCUAGGGGCAAAUGGAUUAUGUUCUCACCGGAGGUAAUCCAUGACUACUAUCAGUUAUCUUGGAACAAUGUGGUCCCUAUCCCAGAGGACUUCAACUGGAAUGAGGUUGCAGAAAUAUUGUUGGGACGUGAAAACGCUUGGCCUCUACCUACAGCAGACUGGCAUCAGAUAGAUCUCACCCCAUCCAUAGCAAUUUUAUGGUUAUUCAUGUGCCAUAACAUCGAGCCUAUAUCCCAC